UACGGAGGGUGCGAGCGUUGUUCGGAAUUACUGGGCGUAAAGCGCGUGCAGGCGGUCUCUUAAGUCUGGUGUGAAAGCCCGGGGCUCACCCCCGGAAGGGCACUGGAGACUGGGAGGCUAGAGUACCGGAGAGGAAGGUGGAAUUCCUGGUGUAGCGGUGAAAUGCGUAGAUAUCAGGAGGAACACCGGUGGCGAAGGCGGCCUUCUGGACGGCUACUGACGCUGAGACGCGAAAGCGUGGGGAGCAAAC
rnacentral:rRNA from 1 species